GUCAUUUAUUUAAAAAUAUAUCAUGCAUUUUAUUUAGUUCAUAGUUCAAAAAUAAAACAAAUUAGAUAAGAUGAAGUGGUCAAAGACUAAUCCUGUAUAAUAAACAAAUGUCUAUGAUGAGGAAUGAUACACUUUUGGGAUGUAGGAUAUAGGUGGUUAAAAAAAGUGGGAUUUGGAAAAAAAAGUGGGACUUGGGAAAAGGUGUGAAAUUGGAAAACAUUACAAAAACCUUAUACAAUGUUAUACAAUGUUUGUCAGCUAAACGGAAAAAAAUACGUGGGCUAUUGUUCAUAAAUUCUCACGGGUCGUCUAGGUUAGAUAUAAUAGUUGUCACAAUGAUGUUCAUUUCAAGUUAUCUGGAAAGAAAAAUAGUAACUUUCGCAGUGUUAUUUGUGUCAUUGGAACUUGUUUUUUUGCUUGUUCUCCUAUAUUUUCCUCGGAGACAUCGUGAUUUACUUUAACCAUUAACGCUUGUAAAUCCAACCUG
rnacentral:lncRNA from 1 species